UGGGACAGGGAAGCCUCAAAGACUGAGGGGCGGGUAGGCUUUUAUGGUAACCGUGCACCAACGGGGUGGGACAAAACACUUGCCUCACAGUGGGUUCUUCCGGAAGGUGGCUCUGGUAGCCACUGCUGACCUGGAGCAAGAGUUUCCAGCCAGAUGGAGGGAAGACAGAACCAACCCCCAGUUCUCCCAGAAGCCAGGAUCCCCAAGCAGAAACUCAGGCUGGUUCUCUUGCAGCAGUGCUGCCCAACUCCUUGGCAUUAAAAAUCAGCACAAGACAGUGUCAGGAAGGGACAGGCACCUAACCGCUCAAACAUGAGGCUGACAGGACAGGGAUGGCCAAAUGAUACAGAGGAUGUAGGGCGUUCCCAGAUUCUAAUAAGCAGGGGUCUCUGCUUUCCUCACCCCAGGACAUGGGAGCCAUGAACACAAGUCACCAGACUGACUCUGCAGCGGAGGUUGUCCUGAGAGUGUGGGAUGGCAGCUGUGCCGAGUGACGGGAUUGUGGCCAGCAUGGCCAUGCAGAAAGCCUGUGAUGAGGGCUAGUAGCCUUCUCCCAGCUUUUUUUCUCCAGGACUCCCAUAAUCUGUCAACUCAAUUGCAUUGUAGAAAGGAGAAAUUAAGCCAAAUAAAGUAUUUAACAAACAA